GUCAAAGCGUUCAUUAAAGUCGAGUUGGCUUAGGGAUACGUUCGUUGGGUAGGGGAGCGUUCUGUAAGCCUGUGAAGGUGUGUCGUGAGGCAUGCUGGAGGUAUCAGAAGUGCGAAUGCUGACAUAAGUAACGAUAAAGCGGGUGAAAAGCCCGCUCGCCGGAAGACCAAGGGUUCCUGUCCAACGUUAAUCGGGGCAGGGUGAGUCGACCCCUAAGGCGAGGCCGAAAGGCGUAGUCGAUGGGAAACGGGUUAAUAUUCCCGUACUUGGUGUUACUGCGAAGGGGGGACGGAGAAGGCUAUGUUGGCCGGGCGACGGUUGUCCCGGUUUAAGCGUGUAGGUGUGUGUUCCAGGUAAAUCCGGUUCACUUUAACACUGAGGCGUGACGACGAGGCACUACGGUGCUGAAGCAACAAAUGCCCUGCUUCCAGGAAAAGCCUCUAAGCAUCAGGUAACAUCAAAUCGUACCCCAAACCGACACAGGUGGUCAGGUAGAGAAUACCAAGGCGCUUGAGAGAACUCGGGUGAAGGAACUAGGCAAAAUGGUGCCGUAACUUCGGGAGAAGGCACGCUGACACGUAGGUGAAGUGAUUUACUCAUGGAGCUGAAGUCAGUCGAAGAUACCAGCUGGCUGCAACUGUUUAUUAAAAACACAGCACUGUGCAAACACGAAAGUGGACGUAUACGGUGUGACGCCUGCCCGGUGCCGGAAGGUUAAUUGAUGGGGUCAGCGCAAGCGAAGCUCCUGAUCGAAGCCCCGG
rnacentral:rRNA from 1 species